rnacentral:rRNA from 1 species
GACGAACGCUGGCGGCGUGCCUAAUACAUGCAAGUCGAACGAGAGCGACCGGUGCUUGCACUGUUCAAUCUAGUGGCGAACGGGUGAGUAACACGUGGGUAACCUGCCCAUCAGAGGGGGAUAACAUUCGGAAACGGAUGCUAAAACCGCAUAGGUCUUCGAACCGCAUGGUUUGAAGAGGAAAAGAGGCGCAAGCUUCUGCUGAUGGAUGGACCCGCUUUGCAUUAUCUAGUUGGUGAGGUAACGGCUCACCAAGGCCGUGAUGCAUAGCCGACCUGAGAGGGUGAUCGGCCACAUUGGGACUGAGACACGGCCCAAACUCCUACGGGAGGCAGCAGUAGGGAAUAUUCCGCAAUGGACGCAAGUCUGACGGAGCAAUGCCGCGUGGGUGAAGAAGGUUUUCGGAUCGUAAAACCCUGUUGUUAGAGAAGAAUAAGUGCUAGAGUAACUGUUAGCGCCUUGACGGUAUCUAACCAGAAAGCCACGGCUAACUACGUG